AUGCCCCAAAAUCCAAUUGUCUGGAAUAGAUGGUAUGAUGGUUUAAAGCUAUGGCCCGGUGUGCAGUGGCUGCGGACAGCAGCCUCUUUGGUAGUGUACGUGGCCUGUUGCCUGUACGGGCUGCCCUAAGGGACCUUGGAGACAGCC
rnacentral:snoRNA from 1 species